rnacentral:misc_RNA from 1 species
UGCUGCUGCGGAACCCUCGACUGAAAACUAGGAUUCGCGUUCAUAACUCCGCCUCUACCGGCGCCUAUCCCCGGCGGAUACCGCCCUCUAUUAUUAUUAUUCAUCAUCAACAACCGUAAAUCUAACUAACUAGCCGAUUCAAACCCAAAAUUUGUGCAAAAACUACCAAAAGAAAACCAACAAAAGAACUAUAACCGUCAAUAGUUACCAAACCAAUGGGACUAAAAGCUAUAGCGUUUGGUGAAGAAUGAAAUCGCAAGUUGCCAAAAUUAAAGUCUAGCAAAGGAAAAUUUAUACAAGCAAGAGAAGAAUGAAAUCUAGGGUUUCUCGACAACUCGUGAAUACAAAGAAGGCAGGAGCACCGGAGGAAGAUGGUGAAUACAAAUAUAGGGUUUAGUUGUUUUGGGAGGAAAGAGAGGAUGGAGAUCGUAAACUAGGAGCAAAAUCAGGGUGUAAAAUUCAGCGGAUCUUAAAUGAAAAGAGAAAUGGAUCAAUUUUGGGUGGUCCGGAGAGGUAAAUGGAAGAUUUUUGAUAGUAUUACGAAGCUACAAGAAGACGAGAGAAAGGUCAUGCGCUGAUUCAUGGCAUUUGGGUUGGACGUGC